GGGGCUUAACCCCGGGUCUGCAUCCGAUACGGGCAGGCUAGAGUGUGGUAGGGGAGAUCGGAAUUCCUGGUGUAGCGGUGAAAUGCGCAGAUAUCAGGAGGAACACCGGUGGCGAAGGCGGAUCUCUGGGCCAUUACUGACGCUGAGGAGCGAAAGCGUGGGGAGCGAACAGGAUUAGAUACCCUGGUAGUCCACGCCGUAAACGUUGGGAACUAGGUGUUGGCGACAUUCCACGUCGUCGGUGCCGCAGCUAACGCAUUAAGUUCCCCGCCUGGGGAGUACGGCCGCAAGGCUAAAACUCAACCGAAUUGACGGGGGCCCGCACAAGCAGCGGAGCAUGUGGCUUAAUUCGACGCAACGCGAAGAACCUUACCAAGGCUUGACAUAUACCGGAAAGCAUUAGAGAUAGUGCCCCCCUUGUGGUCGGUAUACAGGUGGUCCAUGGCUGUCGUCAGCUCGUGUCGUGAGAUGUUGGGUUAAGUCCCGCAACGAGCGCAACCCUUGUCCUGUGUUAUCAGCAUGCCCUUCGGGGUGAUGGGGACUCACAGGAGACCGCCGGGGUCAACUCGGAGGAAGGUGGGGACGACGUCACGUCAUCAUGCCCCUUAUGUCUUGGGCUGCACACGUGCUACAAUGGCCGGUACAAAGAGCUGCGAUGCCGUGAGGCGGAGCGAAUCUCAAAAAGCCGGUCUCAGUUCGGAUUGGGGUCUGCAACUCGACCCCAUGAAGUCGGAGUUGCUAGUAAUCGCAGAUCAGCAUUGCUGCGGUGAAUACGUUCCCGGGCCUUGUACACACCGCCCGUCACGUCACGAAAGUCGGUAACACCCGAAGCC
rnacentral:rRNA from 1 species